CCACCUUGAAAUGAAAAAUACCAAAGAGUUCAGUCCUACCUGAUCACAGGAUUCCUGCCUGAUGCCAGCUCCUACCACGGCUCAAGUGAAGCCAUGUCACCCUGGGGUUUCGACUGAUUCUACCAUUAGACACUGAAAGGACUCUGCUAGUUCGGGUGAUCCCAAAUGCAGGAGGACAACAGAAAGAGCCAGACACUGCUCAGUGUCAGCCCAGGAGGAGAUGAAGUGGAGAGUGACGAAGGGGACGCUUUUCACUAAGAUUAACACAACAUACAAGGAAAUCCAGGCUGGACCUGCUGCUGCUGCCACACUGAAGACGUGUUGAGUGGCUGAAGGAGGAGAAGAAAUGGAUUUGGUUGCAGAUCUAUUGUCAGAGUCAUUUUCAAGAUGGACUUUUCAAGAAAAGCUGAACAUCAUUAAGAAAGGUCGGGCAAUUCCUGAGCUGGCAAGCCUGUCACAUCCGUUCUCACGUUGGUAUAUGGAGUUGCUUGUGGCAAUAAACUUGAAACCAUCAGUCGAGUCUCUUACCGUCUUUCGGAGGGUAUGCUGCAAGAACACCAACCGCAAGAAGGGGUAAACCACACUCUACUUCAUGGGGAAAAUGGCAUCAUUUGUCCUGUAGUCUGAGGAGCUAUCACUGUACCACUGUACUACUUACCACUGUAAUAAUCAACCAAUCCAUCCUUCUCUUCACUCAUUACAAGCCAAUGGUCAGUUUUAUUGUCUUUUAUAGCUAUAAAUUGUGCUAGAUGUUUUCAUCUUCAAUUGCAUUGCAGAUUCUGCUAUUCCUGAGGAUAGCAACCAUUUUGCCUGUAAAAAAUAAAGUAGUCUUCACGGCACCCUUCACCAUUUUUCUUGUUCUUCCUCUGGACGUGUUCAUUUCUGCAUUUGUCACAUUAAGCAUAUUGUUAAAUUUAAAAAAUUGAAGCCAUUUGAGAAAUUAAUAUACUGUGUAUAAUUUAUCUGAGAAUGAUUGUAUUGUAAAAGUUGGAAUGAUAAGGAAAAAUUAAA